UACGCGAAGAACCUUACCAUCCCUUGACAUGUCGUGCCAUCCGGAGAGAUCCGGGGUUCCCUUCGGGGACGCGAACACAGGUGCUGCAUGGCUGUCGUCAGCUCGUGUCGUGAGAUGUUGGGUUAAGUCCCGCAACGAGCGCAACCCACGUCCUUAGUUGCCAUCAUUCAGUUGGGCACUCUAGGGAGACUGCCGGUGAUAAGCCGCGAGGAAGGUGUGGAUGACGUCAAGUCCUCAUGGCCCUUACGGGAUGGGCUACACACGUGCUACAAUGGCGGUGACAGUGGGAGGCGAAGGAGCGAUCUGGAGCAAAUCCCCAAAAACCGUCUCAGUUCAGAUUGCACUCUGCAACUCGAGUGCAUGAAGGCGGAAUCGCUAGUAAUCGUGGAUCAGCAUGCCACGGUGAAUACGUUCCCGGGCCUUGUACACACC
rnacentral:rRNA from 1 species